rnacentral:snRNA from 1 species
CGGUGGGAGGACCCACCGG